AUGAACGCUAGCGACAGGCCUAACACAUGCAAGUCAGGGGCAGCACAAGGAGCAAUCUGAGGUGGCGACCGGCGCACGGGUGAGUAACACGUAUGCAACCUGCCUGUAAGCGGGGAAUAACCCGUUGAAAGACGGACUAAUACCGCAUAAUACUAAAUUACUGCAUGGUAAUUUAUUUAAACAUUUAUGGCUUACAGAUGGGCAUGCGCAUGAUUAGCUAGUUGGAGAGGUAACGGCUCCCCAAGGCAACGAUCAUUAGGGGUUCUGAGAGGAAGGUCCCCACACUGGUACUGAGACACGGACCAGACUCCUACGGGAGGCAGCAGUGAGGAAUAUUGGUCAAUGGACGAGAGUCUGAACCAGCCAAGUCGCGUGCAGGAAGAAUGUCCUAAUGGAUUGUAAACUGCUUUUGCAGGGGAAUAAAGUGCAUCACGUGUGAUGUUUUGUAUGUACUCUGCGAAUAAGGAUCGGCUAACUCCGUGCCAGCAGCAGC
rnacentral:rRNA from 1 species